ACUGAAGGAAGAUAAGUGGUUGAGGUGUGAAACAGAAACAUGAAGAGGAAUACAUUAUGAGGACAUUAGGGAUUAACGCAAUGAAACACACAAGUUCCACAGCUAUGCAGCCUGCGAUGGGGAGGCGAGGCACCAGGGAGGAUGGCAGUGAGAUGGGGACCAAGGAGAGAUGUUGUGAGGAGGGAGGAGGAAGAUGAAUGAGCAGAGGAAAGGGCCUGCUGGAGCCACGGUACUUGUUGCCAUGCACAGGAUAACUGCAAAAAGAAAUAGAAAUCAAUAUAUCAACUGCAAUUUACACAGACAAUUCCACAGCCUUCAUUCUGAAUAAGUACAUUCUGUAGUGUUUAUAAAUGAGACAAUAAAACAAUUUACUGAGUACAUGUGUAUUAA